UAUAGUUGUAUGAUGCAUUCUUGAGAGGCCUGAAUUCUAAAGCUGAUAUGAAAGGUGUCCCAGAGCCAGUGUUUGCUAGGCAGGCAAGUAGAUAGCUCAUGGUGGUCACAUUUUCUGUUUCCCUCAGGAAAGCUUCUGAGAUUUUGUAGCUGCUGGUCUAUAUCGUAUGUCCUGAAUUCCGGUGAUAUCUUCAUACUGAUGCCAGUGUCAAUGAAUGCAGCAUCAGAAACGUAAUUUAAGUAUGUUGUUUUAUCAGUGUAAGAAGCAUUAUCUGGUACUCCACAAUCUAUGCUGAUGAACCCUGAGAGAGAAACAGCACUAGGCGUUAAUUAGCUCAACUGCAAAUGUAAAGUACAGAUCAUUAAACUUUAAAGAUUGUCAUACCAGAUUGAUCUUGAGCUUUGACCACAGCUGUAAAAGCAAAGGUGCGAAGCAAUAGAAAGAGGAAGUAUUGUAACUUCACUGCAAGAAGAAAACAACACAAUCAUGAAUUUAAUAUUUUUUUC